AGCCCAACUCUAGCCCAACCCCCACAACCAACAAACUUAAAAAUCCACUCAUCCUCUAAACCAAAACAUUCUCCCAACUUAGUAUAGGCGAUAGAAAAGUUUACUAGGCGCGAUAGAGACCCGUACCGUAAGGGAAAGAUGAAAUAGCAGUGAACAAGCCAAGCAAUAAAAAGCAAAGAUAGACCCUUGUACCUCUUGCAUCAUGAUUUAGCAAGAACAACCAAGCAAAACGAACUUAAGCUUGCCAUCCCGAAACCCAAGCGAGCUACUUACGAGCAGCUAUCCUUUGAGCGAACCCGUCUCUGUUGCAAAAGAGUGGGAUGACUUGUCAGUAGAGGUGAAAAGCCAACCGAGCUGGGUGAUAGCUGGUUACCUGUGAGCGAAUCUAAGUUCUACCUUGGACCCCCCC
rnacentral:rRNA from 1 species